GCAGCCUUCCACAUCGCUGCCCCGCUCCCUGUCACUGCCACACGCUGGGACUUCGGAGACGGCUCCGCCGAGGUGGAUGCCGCUGGGCCGGCUGCCUCGCAUCGCUAUGUGCUGCCUGGGCGCUAUCACGUGACGGCCGUGCUGGCCCUGGGGGCCGGCUCAGCCCUGCUGGGGACAGACGUGCAGGUGGAAGCGGCACCUGCCGCCCUGGAGCUCGUGUGCCCGUCCUCGGUGCAGAGUGACGAGAGCCUCGACCUCAGCAUCCAGAACCGCGGUGGUUCAGGCCUGGAGGCCGCCUACAGCAUCGUGGCCCUGGGCGAGGAGCCGGCCCGAGCGGUGCACCCGCUCUGCCCCUCGGACACGGAGAUCUUCCCUGGCAACGGGCACUGCUACCGCCUGGUGGUGGAGAAGGCGGCCUGGCUGCAGGCGCAGGAGCAGUGUCAGGCCUGGGCCGGGGCCGCCCUGGCAAUGGUGGACAGUCCCGCCGUGCAGCGCUUCCUGGUCUCCCGGGUCACCAGGCCCAGUGCAGGAUGCCGAGAACCUCCUCGUGGGAGCGCCCAGUGGGGACCUG
rnacentral:lncRNA from 1 species